rnacentral:rRNA from 1 species
UACGUAGGAUGCAAGCGUUGUUCGGAAUUACUGGGCGUAAAGAGUACGUAGGCGGUUUGAUAAGUCUGAAAUUAAAGACUGGGGCUUAACCUCAGGAAUGUAUCGGAAACUAUCAGACUAGAGGACUAUAGAGGAAGUCGGAAUUCUCAGUGUAGCGGUGAAAUGCGUAGAUAUUGGGAAGAACACCAGUGGCGAAAGCGGACUUCUGGGUAGUUACUGACGCUGAGGUGCGAAAGCGUGGGGAGCAAACGGG